UCAACCGAAUGUCGAGCCCCACCUAUAAAAUCCAUAUCAUUUCAUUCGAUAUCAUAUCAUAUCCGCUCAUAUUUUCUUACAACACAAGCUAGCCACCAUUUCAUCACACACACACUCUCUCUCUCUCUCUUAUGCUCCCUCACACAUACUAAAAUUCACUUAUGGCAACAGCUUCUGCUCACAAGUCUCUCACAAAAUGCACAAACACCUUCCUCUUAUUUCCUCUCUCCAAGAAGCAACACUCUAUUUACACUCUUCAUCUUCACCAAAGACCAUUGUGCAAUGGAUGCUAUCUUUCAAUGAAUGGCUGCAGAAAAGGACAGUCAAGAGGGCCUGUUGGGACAAUAGAGACACAAACGUUGGAACCGGUUGCAACAACUUCAAUGGCUUUGUACAGCCUGAAAAUGACGAUUUCUAAGAUGAAAUCAGAGCCUCCAUAUCGGAGCUCUUCGGGCAUAGUGAGGCUGCAGGUCCCUAUUGAGGAGGAAGAGGUUGAGGCCAUUGAUUGGCUCCACUCACAGAACCACCUUCUCCUUCCUCGUUGCUUCUUCUCCGGCAGGGAACACAAUUCUUUUGACUCUAAUGGCAGAAGCUUGGUUAGCGUUGCCGGUGUUGGCUCUGCCGUUUCCUUUUGCCAGCCACACCCCUUUUCCUAUUGGGAUUGGAUAUCCAUUAGGAGGUUUCUUUCUGAGAGCUGCCCAUUGAUUCGUGCAUACGGAGCCAUCCGAUUCAACGCAAAAGCUAAGGUGUCAUCAGAGUGGCUGCCUUUCGGUUCUUUCUACUUCAUGAUUCCGCAGGUUGAGUUUAAUGAGCUUGAAGGAGGAUCGAUGCUCACUACGACCAUUGCGUGGGACAAUACAAUUUCUUGGUCCUGGGAAGAUGCAAUCAAUGCUCUCCAAGAAACCCUUAGCAAGGUUUCUGCUUCGAUUGUGAGGUUUCCGAAACAAGCUCCUCCAACAUUAAUAUUAAGUAGCCAUGAUAUUCCAAGUAAAAUAUAUUGGGAUAUUGCUGUUAACAGAGCUUUGGAGAUGAUAAAGAAAAACAACUCCUUACUAACCAAGGUUGUGCUGGCUCGUAGUACAAGAGUGGUGCCUACUACUAACAUCGAUCCGCUUACGUGGUUAGCUUGCUUAACGGUUGAGAGCGAAAAUGCAUACCAGUUUCUCCUUCAGCCGCCAAAUGCACCUGCAUUUAUCGGAAAUACACCAGAGCAACUAUUUCACAGAAAAUGGCUCCACAUUACUAGUGAGGCUUUGGCUGGAACUCGAGCUAGAGGAGCGUCGAUGGCACUGGAUCGUCAAAUAGAACUUGACUUGCUUACAAGUCCAAAGGAUGAUAUUGAGUUCACCAUAGUAAGGGAUACCAUAAGAAGAAAAUUAGAGGGAGUGUGUGAAAACGUUAUGAUCAAGCCAAAGAAAAUGAUAAGAAAGCUCCCCAGGAUCCAACAUUUAUUUGCUCAAUUAGCCGGCAGGUUAAGAAGCGAAGAAGACGAGUUUAAAAUUUUGUCAUCUCUUCACCCAAGUCCAGCAGUUUGUGGGUUUCCAACAGAAGAGGCACAACUUUUAAUUGCAAAAACAGAAGUAUUUGAUAGAGGGAUGUAUGCCGGACCUGUUGGUUGGUUCGGCGGUGGAGAGAGCGAGUUUGCUGUUGGCAUCAGGUCAGCAUUGGUGGAAAAGGUUAGCUGCAAUUUUGAGGAUUUUUUCCUCCUUAGUGGAGAAAAAAGAGGAUCACGGUGCAUUGAUAUAUGCUGGAACAGGGAUAGUGGAAGGAAGCAAUCCUUACUUGGAGUGGGAUGAACUAGAACUCAAGACAUCUCAGUUCACCAAGUUGCUCAAACUUGACUUGCCUCUCAGACAAAAAGUAGAUUGUAAAUGAGCUCCAUCAACUGAUUCGGUUGGCGUCUUCGAUAUCUAUUUAUGCUGGUGGAGGCUUUGGACAACACCAUAUAGAAUAAAACAUUAUAAGCUAUUUAUUUAUGUUAUUUUAAUGACUCAAUUACUGCUCUUUAGAGUAGAUUCAACAACUGCUGAUUUGUAUUCAUGGGUUGAGAAGUCAUGACAGCAAUUCUUUCUCCCGAAUAUUUGUACUCUUUUGAGCAAAGAAAUAUAAAAAACAUUGUAUAAUAAUAAUAAUAAUAAUAUGUAUACACUAGUGUGUCAUAAUAUUUCUUAUUUUGUAUGAUCUCAAUAAUUUGCAAAAGGAGAAGAAAUAAAGUGAUUUAUUUUUAAUAUAUAAAACACAAAUUACUAUGAUCCUAGUAUUAUGCUUAUCGAGCGAUACAUUUAAAUAUUAUCUGACUGUUUACACGUAAAGAAAUUUAAUUCCAAAUAGAGUAAGUAUUUCUAGUAAGUAAUUAUGAUUCACAAAGCCACUGCAUAGGUUGGUAACAUUUCCUUCUUGAUACUUUUUAUAAUUUUGGUUGUUGAACUAUUAGAGUCGGAUGUGAAUGCACACCAUCAAAAUAAGGUUAGAAUUGAAAAUUAAUCAUAAAUUAACCACCACCUGAACUGUAACAUGGCUUCAAUGGGUUUUUACCACAAUCAUAGCAAAAGUGCCAUUAAUCUCAUAUGUGA